UUGACCUCAAAUCAGGUAGGACUACCCGCUGAACUUAAGCAUAUCAAUAAGCGGAGGAAAAGAAACUAACAAGGAUUCCCCUAGUAACUGCGAGUGAAGCGGGAAGAGCUCAAAUUUAAAAUCUGGCGGCCUCUGGUCGUCCGAGUUGUAGUCUGGAGAAGCG
rnacentral:rRNA from 1 species